AGUGAACGCUGGCGGUAGGCCUAACACAUGCAAGUCGAACGGCAGCACAGGAGAGCUUGCUCUCUGGGUGGCGAGUGGCGGACGGGUGAGGAAUGCAUCGGAAUCUACUCUUUCGUGGGGGAUAACGUAGGGAAACUUACGCUAAUACCGCAUACGACCUACGGGUGAAAGCCGGGGACCUUCGGGCCUGGCGCGAAUGAAUGAGCCGAUGCCCGAUUAGCUAGUUGGCGGGGUAAGAGCCCACCAAGGCGACGAUCGGUAGCUGGUCUGAGAGGAUGAUCAGCCACACUGGAACUGAGACACGGUCCAGACUCCUACGGGAGGCAGCAGUGGGGAAUAUUGGACAAUGGGCGCAAGCCUGAUCCAGCCAUACCGCGUGGGUGAAGAAGGCCUUCGGGUUGUAAAGCCCUUUUGUUGGGAAAGAAAAGCAGCUGGUUAAUACCCGGUUGUUCUGACGGUACCCAAAGAAUAAGCACCGACUAACUUCGUG
rnacentral:rRNA from 1 species